AUUGAACGCUGGCGGCAGGCCUAACACAUGCAAGUCGAACGAGUGGCGGACGGGUGAGUAAUGUCUGGGAAACUGCCUGAUGGAGGGGGAUAACUACUGGAAACGGUAGCUAAUACCGCAUACCAUCAGAUGUGCCAAGAUGGGAUUAGCUAGUUGGUGGGGUACCGGCUAACCAAGGCGACGAUCCCUAGCUGGUCUGAGAGGAUGACCAGCCAAACUGGAACUGAGACACGGUCCAGACUCCUACUGGAGGCAGCAGUGGGGAAUAUGGCACAAUGGGCGCAAGCCUGAUGCAGCCAUGCCGCGUGUAUGAAGAAGUCCUUCGGGUUGUAAAGUACUUUCAGCGGGGAGGCGUUACCCGCAGAAGAAGCACCGGCUAACUCCGUGUCAGCAGCCGCGGUAAUUC
rnacentral:rRNA from 1 species